GACGAACGCUGGCGGCGUGCCUAAUACAUGCAAGUAGGACGCAGUUGCGAACGGGUGAGUAACGCGUAGGUAACUACCUAUUAGAGGGGGAUAACUAUUGGAAACGAUAGCUAAUACCGCAUACUAGUAGAUGGACCUGCGUUGUAUUAGCCAGUAGGUAGGGUAAUGGCCUACCAAGGCAACGAUACAUAGCCGACGUGAGAGGGGUGUCGGCCAAACUUGGACUGAGACACGGCCCCGGCUCCGACGGGGGGCAGCAGUAGGGAAUCUUCGGCAAAGGGGGGAACCCUGACCGAGCAACGCCGCGUGGGUGAAGAAGGUUUUCGGAUCGUAAAGCUCUGUUGUUAAGGAAGCGUUACUUAACCAGAAAGGGCCGGCUAACUACGUGCCAGCCGCCGCGGUAAUAC
rnacentral:rRNA from 1 species